CAGCCCUAAACGAUGCGCGUUAGGUGUAUCGGUGACCACGAGUCACCGAGGUGCCGAAGGGAAACCGUGAAACGAGCCACCUGGGAAGUACGGCCGCAAGGCUGAAACUUAAAGGAAUUGGCGGGGGAGCACAACAACGGGUGGAGCUUGCGGUUUAAUUGGAUUCAACGCCGGAAAUCUUACCGGGACCGACAGCAACAUGAAGGCCAAGCUGAAGACUUUGCCGGAUUAGCUGAGAGGUGGUGCAUGGCGUCAGUGACU
rnacentral:rRNA from 1 species